rnacentral:lncRNA from 1 species
GAAAAACACUGCUUGAAGCACGAUUUUGAUUCACGGGAACAACCGUGGAACAUCCCUCGCCAUGACUUGACCAAACCCAAUAAUUAGGUUGGAAUCCCUUUUUAUAUAAAUGAGACCUAAUUUCAUCUUCGCUACGUAUUCUUGUACAUCGACAAAGUACACACGGACAUCUAAUUCCCCCUUCACGUAUCACAAUGUCAUUGUAUUUUACUGUAUUGAUAAACAUUUCGACCCCUAUUUUAAAUUCCUCUUUAACCCGUCCCCUCUUUCCAGGAUUAUGUCUAUCGUACAUCCAAUUACGAUUGCUAAAAUCCAUAUCUGCGUAGUUUAAUUAAUAUAU